UACGAAGGGUGCAAGCGUUAAUCGGAAUUACUGGGCGUAAAGCGCGCGUAGGUGGUUCAGUAAGUUAGGAGUGAAAGCCCCGGGCUUAACCUGGGAAUUGCUUCUAAAACUGCUGAGCUAGAGUACGGUAGAGGGUGGUGGAAUUUCCUGUGUAGCGGUGAAAUGCGUAGAUAUAGGAAGGAACAUCAGUGGCGAAGGCGACCACCUGGACUGAUACUGACACUGAGGUGCGAAAGCGUGGGGAGCAAACAGG
rnacentral:rRNA from 3 species